rnacentral:rRNA from 1 species
UACAGAGACUGCAAGCGUUAUUCGGAUUCACUGGGCGUAAAGGGUGCGCAGGCGGUCGGGUGUGUCAGAUGUGAAAUCCCGAGGCUCAACCUCGGAACUGCGUCUGAAACUACUCGACUAGAGUACUGGAGAGGGUAACGGAAUUCACGGUGUAGCAGUGAAAUGCGUAGAUAUCGUGAGGAACACCAGAGGCGAAGGCGGUUACCUGAACAGUUACUGACGCUCAGGCACGAAAGCAUGGGGAGCAAAAGGG